rnacentral:lncRNA from 1 species
GUAUUGACAAAUUAAAAUAGUGUUCAUUAAAGAUCACUUUCAGACAUCUUUUUGACAUUUCCUUUAAGACUUAUUUUUUAGAAAAAAGUUUCAGAAAUAUCCUAUAUGAGAGCGCUUAAAGAUUGCUUUAAAGUAAUCAUAUUAGAUAUCUUUUAGAUAAAGUUGUGUAUGACAAUUUGAAACGCAUGCAUAGUUUUCUAAAAGUUGUCCAAACUGAUAUGAAAAAAGAUGACUUUCGGAGUUUCGGAGCGCGCUCCAGGCGCGCUCUCUCAGCGGUCGCCCUGUCUGCUACUCUUUUGAGGUUAUUUUUCCGCGAGUUUUCUUUUUGGCAACUUUUGGAAUAUCGCUACACCUCCAACGACUUUUUCCAAGAAAUCUUAAAAUGCGGACUGUAAGAGUUCUUAAUGUGUAUACUUCGAAAUUCCAUCGGCUUGUGAGGAGUGCGUUAGUGCAUUGUGAAAUAACACGGCGUUUCGCAUGGCGGAAUAAACAGUUUUUACAAUUAUUAUACGUAUAUAUCGUUGAAUGCUAACAGCUGCAUUUCUAUUGAUCAGUGCAUUUUGUGGAGUCCAGUACGCGGCUCAAGGCUUGGCUGAAGGUGUUUCGAACUCUACAUUUUUCAACAAUUUACAAAGGAGUAAUUAAGGAUAAGCUCAACGCUCCUGAAGACUAGAUAAUAAAACGCAUGCAAAAAUGGUUGCAAAAGACUGGAGACCGCAAAAGAUACAAAGAACAACAAGCCAGGAGACAAGCUCAGUUAGAAAAUAAUAACGAGAGAAAUUUAUUUAAUCGUGUCUUAUGACUCCAUUGUCAUAACUAUUAAAAUAUUGUUUAUUUAUUUAAUGAUAUUUGCCUGAUGCAGUAUUUAUAGAUUACCAAAUAUUAUAAUGUAUCUGCUUUAAAUGUAGAUGCAUGCUACUUCUUUUGUAAAACUUAUUUUAAUAAGUUAGUACUAUUAUUUUCGAUUACUUUCGUAUAAAUUUAAUUUUUGUAACUUGAUGUGAUAACAUUAUGGCUGUCUGUGACAGUGAUCAAUGAUCUACGUACAAAUGUGCCUUACCAAUGAAACUAAAAAAUAAAUAUUCAUGUUUAAUUUUUUUAA